rnacentral:rRNA from 1 species
CNUGCAGUCGACGAUGAUGGAGGAGCUUGCUCUUCCUGAUUAGUGGCGCANNNNNUGAGUAACGCAUAGGUAAUGUGCCCCUUAGAGAGGGAUAGCCACUGGAAACGGUGAUUAAUACCUCAUACUCCUUCUUGUCAUAAGGCGAGUCGGGAAAUGUUUUUCGCUAAGGGAUCAGCCUAUGUCCUAUCAGCUAGUUGGUGAGGUAAUGGCUCACCAAGGCAAUGACGGGUAUCUGGUUUGAGAGGAUGAUCAGACACACUGGAACUGAGACACGGUCCAGACUCCUACGGGAGGCAGCAGUGAGGAAUAUUGCACAAUGGAGGAAACUCUGAUGCAGCAACGCCGCGUGGAGGAUGACGCAUUUCGGUGUGUAAACUCCUUUUAAGAGGGAAGAUAAUGACGGUACCUCUUGAAUAAGCACCGGCUAACUCCGUGCCAGCAGCCGCGGUAAUACGGAGGGUGCAAGCGUUACUCGGAAUCACUGGGCGUAAAGGGUGCGCAGGCUGACUUUUAAGUCAGGCGUGAAAUCCAAUGGCUUAACCAUUGAACUGCGCUUGAAACUGGGAGUCUAGAGUUCAGAAGGGGCAGAUGGAAUUAGUGGUGUAGGGGUAAAAUCCGUAGAUAUCACUAGGAAUAUCAAAAGCGAAGGCGAUCUGCUGGGAUGAUACUGACGCUGAGGCACGAAAGCGUGGGGAGCAAACAGGAUUAGAUACCNNNGUAGUCCACGCCCUAAACGAUGAAUGCUAGUCGUCGG